rnacentral:rRNA from 1 species
CAGGUUUACCUGUGUGACUGCGUACCUUUUGUAUAAUGGGUCAGCGACUUAUAUUCUGUAGCAAGGUUAACCGAAUAGGGGAGCCGGAGGGAAACCGAGUCUUAAUUGGGCGUUAAGUUGCAGGGUAUAGACCCGAAACCCGGUGAUCUAGCCAUGGGCAGGUUGAAGGUUGGGUAACACUAACUGGAGGACCGAACCGACUAAUGUUGAAAAAUUAGCGGAUGACCUGUGGCUGGGGGUGAAAGGCCAAUCAAACCGGGAGAUAGCUGGUUCUCCCCGAAAGCUAUUUAGGUAGCGCCUCGUGAAUUCAUCUCCGGGGGUAGAGCACUGUUUCGGCUAGGGGGCCAUCCCGGCUUACCAACCCGAUGCAAACUGCGAAUACCGGAGAAUGUUAUCACGGGAGACACACGGCGGGUGCUAACGUCCGUCGUGAAGAGGGAAACAACCCAGACCGCCAGCUAAGGUCCCAAAGUCAUGGUUAAGUGGGAAACGAUGUGGGAAGGCCCAGACAGCCAGGAUGUUGGCUUAGAAGCAGCCAUCAUUUAAAGAAAGCGUAAUAGCUCACUGGUCGAGUCGGCCUGCGCGGAAGAUGUAACGGGGCUAAACCAUGCACCGAAGCUGCGGCAGCGACACUGUGUGUUGUUGGGUAGGGGAGCGUUCUGUAAGCCUGUGAAGGUGUGUCGUGAGGCAUGCUGGAGGUAUCAGAAGUGCGAAUGCUGACAUAAGUAACGAUAAAGCGGGUGAAAAGCCCGCUCGCCGGAAGACCAAGGGUUCCUGUCCAACGUUAAUCGGGGCAGGGUGAGUCGACCCCUAAGGCGAGGCCGAAAGGCGUAGUCGAUGGGAAACGGGUUAAUAUUCCCGUACUUGGUGUUACUGCGAAGGGGGGACGGAGAAGGCUAUGUUGGCCGGGCGACGGUUGUCCCGGUUUAAGCGUGUAGGUGUGUGUUCCAGGUAAAUCCGGUUCACUUUAACACUGAGGCGUGAUGACGAGGCACUACGGUGCUGAAGCAACAAAUGCCCUGCUUCCAGGAAAAGCCUCUAAGCAUCAGGUAACAUCAAAUCGUACCCCAAACCGACACAGGUGGUCAGGUAGAGAAUACCAAGGCGCUUGAGAGAACUCGGGUGAAGGAACUAGGCAAAAUGGUGCCGUAACUUCGGGAGAAGGCACGCUGACACGUAGGUGAAGUGAUUUACUCAUGGAGCUGAAGUCAGUCGAAGAUACCAGCUGGCUGCAACUGUUUAUUAAAAACACAGCACUGUGCAAACACGAAAGUGGACGUAUACGGUGUGACGCCUGCCCGGUGCCGGAAGGUUAAUUGAUGGGGUCAGCGCAAGCGAAGCUCCUGAUCGAAGCCCCGGUAAACGGCGGCCGUAACUAUAACGGUCCUAAGGUAGCGAAAUUCCUUGUCGGGUAAGUUCCGACCUGCACGAAUGGCGUAAUGAUGGCCAGGCUGUCUCCACCCGAGACUCAGUGAAAUUGAACUCGCUGUGAAGAUGCAGUGUACCCGCGGCAAGACGGAAAGACCCCGUGAACCUUUACUAUAGCUUGACACUGAACAUUGAGCCUUGAUGUGUAGGAUAGGUGGGAGGCUUUGAAGUGUGGACGCCAGUCUGCAUGGAGCCGACCUUGAAAUACCACCCUUUAAUGUUUGAUGUUCUAACGUGGACCCGUUACCCGGGUUGCGGACAGUGUCUGGUGGGUAGUUUGACUGGGGCGGUCUCCUCCUAAAGAGUAACGGAGGAGCACGAAGGUUGGCUAAUCCUGGUCGGACAUCAGGAGGUUAGUGCAAUGGCAUAAGCCAGCUUGACUGCGAGCGUGACGGCGCGAGCAGGUGCGAAAGCAGGUCAUAGUGAUCCGGUGGUUCUGAAUGGAAGGGCCAUCGCUCAACGGAUAAAAGGUACUCCGGGGAUAACAGGCUGAUACCGCCCAAGAGUUCAUAUCGACGGCGGUGUUUGGCACCUCGAUGUCGGCUCAUCACAUCCUGGGGCUGAAGUAGGUCCCAAGGGUAUGGCUGUUCGCCAUUUAAAGUGGUACGCGAGCUGGGUUUAGAACGUCGUGAGACAGUUCGGUCCCUAUCUGCCGUGGGCGCUGGAGAACUGAGGGGGGCUGCUCCUAGUACGAGAGGACCGGAGUGGACGCAUCACUGGUGUUCGGGUUGUCAUGCCAAUGGCACUGCCCGGUAGCUAAAUGCGGAAGAGAUAAGUGCUGAAAGCAUCUAAGCACGAAACUUGCCCCGA